GAUGAACGCUGGCGGCGUGCCUAAUACAUGCAAGUAGAACGCUGAAGGAAGGAGCUUGCUCUUUCCGGAUGAGUUGCGAACGGGUGAGUAACGCGUAGGUAACCUGCCUGGUAGCGGGGGAUAACUAUUGGAAACGAUAGCUAAUACCGCAUAACAGUAGAUGUUGCAUGAUAUCUACUUAAAAGGUGCAAUUGCACCACUACCAGAUGGACCUGCGUUGUAUUAGCUAGUUGGUGAGGUAACGGCUCACCAAGGCGACGAUACAUAGCCGACCUGAGAGGGUGAUCGGCCACACUGGGACCGAGACACGGCCCAGACUCCUACGGGAGGCAGCAGUAGGGAAUCUUCCGCAAUGGACGGAAGUCUGAACGAGCCACGCCGGGUGAGUGAAGAAGGUUUUCGAAUCGUAAAGAUCUGUUGUAAGAGAAGAAAGAGUGUGAGAGUGGAAAGUUCACACUGUGACGGUAGCUUACCAGAAAGGGACGGCUAACUACGUG
rnacentral:rRNA from 1 species